rfam:Ovis aries breed Texel chromosome 1, whole genome shotgun sequence.
UCCCUGGUGGUCCAGUGGCUAAGAUUCCAUGCUCCCAAUAUAAGGGGCCCAGGUUCAAUCCCUGGUCAGGGAA